rnacentral:misc_RNA from 1 species
AAAGUCGUAACAAGGUUUCCGUAGGUGAACCUGCGGAAGGAUCAUUACCGCUUGCUCAACGGCAUCGCCCUUCGGGGAGAGCCGCAGCAUGCAACCCUUGCCUAUGUCUACCAUUCGUUAUUCCCUCGGCGGGGUGACCUGCCGACGGGGACCAACAAACCCUUUUGCAUAAGCAUCGAAAUUCUGAAAACACGCAAAAUAAUCACAACUUUCAACAAUGGAUCUCUUGGUUCUG